UCUGACUACACCCUGCAUCAACUGAGGGCUACAAACACCAUGACACAAAAAACACCAUGUUUCGUCUCAUUUAUGCAAAGGCAGGGAAGAUCCUGGCCAGACACUGCAAUAGACAGGAGGUUGUUUAGACACUGACAAGCCUUUCUGCUCAAACCCAUCUUUCAGAGAAUAUAAAAAAGCUUUAUUUGUUCUUGUCAUUCUGUUUUAAGUGCAUUCAUGAGGUUUGGACCAUAAAAAUGCUUUUACACUACACAUAAGCCAAAACUGCUCUUGCUGCUUGUAACACUUCCAUUUGGUUUAAGUCUUGUUAAUUGUUUGAUACAAAAAAAGCCCUGUAAAGUUCAGCCAUUUAAACAGUACUGCCUGUCGAGCUGAGGACUGCUGAGAGCACUUCCACAUGCAGCUUGUGCCCUCUAGUGAAGCCCAGAAACACAGUCAGUCUCUUUAAAAAACAGGGAUCAUGUGCAGGGUACUGGGCAGGGCAGUUUGCAGGUAAACAAGAGGAAAUCAUAUGCAGCAGUGAGAGCAGGCUGGGGUGAGAGUCCACACCGCACUGUCGCACCAGCAGGAUAUGCGCGCUCACAUCUGAUUAAUGCAGGAGUGGAGAGAGGCGCGAACAAAGCUAAACAAGCAUUUUUCAUUCCUUAAUUAUCUGAAUAUGUGACAUGGGGAGAGUGGAGAGGAGGGCGACUCAGAACAACGGGGGAUUCACACAGUGAGUGUGACAGCACUGUAAUAACCUCAAUUAUUCAGAAUUAGGCCUGUAUUGAUUUACUGUUGGAUCGGCUUACUUACUGCAUCUCAGAUGCUGAAGUGGGAGGGAGAAGGGAACAGUCGACACUUCUGUCCCCAGGAAGAGUGACAGGGAAAGAGGACAUGGAAGAGUAGGAGAAGGAUGGGAAGCUGGAACAGAAGGCAAGGGAUCCUGGGAUGAAGAUAUGCUAAAAGAGAGCCUCUUCAUCAACCAUGUGAUGGUUGCAAGUUGAAAAGAAAUGGAUUGGGCGGUUUCAGAAGAAAGAAGUUCUGAGAAGCCUUCAAAUCGAUGCCUCUGGAGAGAAACUGAACCUAAGAGGAACUUUCAUACCAGACCCAUAGAAAAAAAAAAAAAAACAGCAUUACACAGAAUAAAAAAAAAAAAAAAACAGCUCAUCAUUUUCUAUGGGUGCAUGUGCACCUGCUGUGAAGCUGAGAGCCUGCCAUGCUCCAGUGGGUUUUCAUUCUGAAGAGUUUGAGUAUUCCCCCCCCCCUCAUUGUUAUAUCUUACAAUCGUUUGGCCGCAAGUAAACCUGUCCAUCUCAGUGAUAGUAAGACCUACGGACCAAGAUAUAUGCCGCUUCUCUACGUCCCUGGUCUUCCACACCUGAUUCACUUUACAGUUUUUACUGUGAUGUAUUUCAUGAGAUGAUAUGUAAGUCUAGGAAAAACACUCUCGUGCAGAGUACUGUGGAGUUUCUCAGAUUAAACUCCAAAAGUAGUACACAAGUAAUAUAAUAAUACAAGAAACAGCACAGUACAGUUAUAGAAGUGAAGUAGUCUAAACGUGGCAUGUAUUCUUCUCAUUAAGGAAUGUCGCUACAGGUCAAAACAACAAACUUCAUGUUUGGACAAACUGCAUGAAUUACAUGUCUUCUCCUAAGCUGCUGUAAUAAAAUUGUCAAAAUGCAACAAAUAGUUCACUUAUGUUAACAUUAUCUUAUUAACUUAAAUAUCGUUAAAGGCCUUAAACUCCGCCCACUCAGCACAAAUAUGUCAUGUCAUAUAGCCCUAAGAAGCUUGUUUCCUGAUAUGUCAAUUUAUGUGUCAUUAGUAUACACAUGUCAUUUUCCUUUAGAAAACAUAUAAACCACACUUACUAGAAUGGAAACACAUGAAGCCAUAGCAUAACCAAAAACUGAAGCGUAUUGUCAUGUUUUUAGAUGACUUUGAUAAAAAUUCUCUCACAAAUCAGAUCUCAAUCCAAACUGGGUAGGAGAUCCGGAAAGCCUUUUCAGGACCAUCUUGCACAUGUGUAACUCAGUAAAAACAGAACUAACGAGAUUUCUGAGGGCCAGUGUCAGCCUGUAUUCUCGGUUGGAGUCGAGCUUUAACACAAGGCAGGGAAGCACUCAUAAUGGUGGACUGAAUAAGAGUCUCACCCUGAGAAACAUUUUCUGGCACACUUAAGGCUUGUUUUUGAGCGUGGCUGGACUAGAAUGGAGACUGGUUCAUUAAGCCUUAUGACUUCCUCUCUUGCUCGCUCCCUCUCUUCCAGUAAGUAAGAGUGUUUUUUUUUUUUUUUUCUUUGAAGCUUGCACAACAGGCAAAGUUGAUGAUUUUAUUAAUUCUUUUUUAUUUUAUAAGUACAAUAGAAGUUGUAAAACUGGGUAGGCUCACUGGGUAUCCUGGAUCAUCUGAAUACCAAAGCAGUAAUCGUGAAAACCAAUCCUAAAACCACAAGGCUCUUGGCUGCAAAAAAAGUUUGGAUCAAGUUCUCGAGUCUUGUAUUACACGCCAGCAGCUAAUGUUUUAAGGAAAUGCUUUGGCAUUCAUUCUCUGUUAUUGCCACAAUUAUGAUAACAGUGGACUAAAUCUAUGAAGUGUGGGUAGACAGAUUUAGGUAAGAUAACUGUCAGAUUAGAAAUCAUACACACUAUUUCUCUUCAUUUUGCAUCUCCAAAGCUCGAGCCAAAGCCAGGUCCACUUAAUGAUGGAUUACUGUCCAGCAGCUGCCCUAUGCCUCCUGACAUUUAUGAUAUAAGCAAACCUUUACUUUAUGUGGUCCACUGCUUGGAGGAACUACUAAUGGGGGUACGGGAUUGCUGGCCCAGGUUUGUGGUGUAUCCCAAGGGAGGCAUAGGACCCCUUUUAAUUGGGGCGGCUGACUAAAUAAAUUGGAAGAUUAUGACCUAUAAAUGAAAAUUUAUGUGCCCAUUAUACGUGCCGCUGAUCUGCUCAGAAAUGGUAACACACUCGUUAGCUACAAUUCGUCUGCCAUGCCAUCAUUUCCUAAUUAGCACUGAUGCUGGCAGGGCUUUACUCAGCAUGCAUACAUGUUUCUGAUGGUUCUGUUUUUCCUCCCAAUUAAAUGGUUCCAUUUUAGGGGCAUGUCAUGCCUUGCUGGAAAACAAACCCAGACCCAAAAAUAAACUUGGUAGAGGGGUUCUACAUCAAUUAAAAGAAGUCCACAGGAGUCUUGUUUUUAAUAAAAGCACUCUGAUAUGCUUUAAUAAAAGAUGAGGCUGGGGCAAAUGUAAAUUGCCGGUUCACCCAGCUUUUCAAAUAUCAUAGUGAUAUCAAGGCUAAAGAUUCACCUGAUGGGAGUUUCGGAGAAAGAAAGUACAGCUGAGAGGCCACCAAAUAAUAAAGAGAACCUAAUCAGGGGUUGUUCCCCAUGUUUUCACCUUUCUGUGUAAAUUCAUCUAUGAUUUAUUAGAGGGAAUGAUAGAAAGAGCCCUGUGAGCUCCACUGUCCUUCAGCAGGGGAAAAAAAUGGUCAAUGGUGGCACACAAAGGGGAACAAAGCAGCCAAAGAGCAUUGCUACACAAAAAAGAGCGUUCUCUUCAAUUUCCUGCCAAAACGGGAGACUGGAAUUAUUCUCCUGCUGCCUUUGUGUCUCUCCUGCACUCCUUCUCUCUGUUUCGGACAAACAAAGCUGGCUGUAUUUGUUCUCAUGAGGGAGGCUCUUUAGCGGCCCAUCAGGCAGCAGGGAGCCCACAGGAAAACGGCACAGCAGCAGGAGAGGGUCGGUCUGCUAGAUGCACUUCACAACUACCUCACAACCACACAGACACACACAAUUACUGCUUUCUCUCUCCCACACCAGCACACAUACACAUAUUGAAUGUGCUCCAAAAAAAAAAAAAAAAAAAAAGCGGCAAC